GAUGAACGCUGGCGGCGUGCCUAAUACAUGCAAGUCGAGCGAACAGACGAGGAGCUUGCUCCUCUGACGUUAGCGGCGGACGGGUGAGUAACACGUGGAUAACCUACCUAUAAGACUGGGAUAACUUCGGGAAACCGGAGCUAAUACCGGAUAAUAUAUUGAACCGCAUGGUUCAAUAGUUAAAGACGGUUUUGCUGUCACUUAUAGAUGGAUCCGCACCGCAUUAGCUAGUUGGUAAGGUAACGGCUUACCAAGGCAACGAUGCGUAGCCGACCUGAGAGGGUGAUCGGCCACACGGGAACUGAGACACGGUCCAGAGUCCUACGGGAGGCAGCAGUAGGGAAUCUUCCGCAAUGGGCGAAAGCCUGACGGAGCAACGCCGCGUGAGUGAUGAAGGUCUUCGGAUCGUAAAACUCUGUUAUUAGGGAAGAACAAAUGUGUAAGUAACUAUGCACGUCUUGACGGUACCUAAUCAGAAAGCCACGGCUAACUACGUG
rnacentral:rRNA from 1 species